AUGCUAGUUUCAGCAUUUAGGAUAUAUACUAAAAUUAGAAUAAUCUAGAUAAGAUCAGCAUGUCCCCUGUGAAAGGAUAACAAUCCAGAAAAGACUAGAGAUUCAUAUUGUU
ensembl:snRNA U6 U6 spliceosomal RNA